rnacentral:sRNA from 1 species
AAAACACUAAGGGGAGCGCGCGAAGCUCAACUUGGCGCUCGACGGGGGCCGUUAGCCGCCCCAGAGCGCGCGGAGCCGCAGAGGCGUAGCUGGACUACAACGCAGUGCAUCUCGGGAGGCCAACUCGACUGGACCGGGUGAGAGGACAGAGGUGGCUCGAUGGGCGGCCCGAAGGCCGGGGAUCAUGGCGGGCAGGCGGGCCCAGCCAGGUUCAGCCCCGCCCCGACCCGCCGCUCCCCACCCCCGGCCGGCCUCGCGUGCCUUCCCGCAGCACUGCUGUCCCCGGGAUGCUGAGCGCCCACCGUCUCCCCGCAGCCCCCUCAUGCCCGGCUGCGAGCUGCCCGUGGGCACCUGCCCGGACAUGUGCCCGGCCGCCGAGCGCGCCCAGCGCGAAAGGGAGCACCGCCUGCACCGCUUGGAGGCGGUGCCGGGUUGCCGCCAGUACCCGCCCCGCGCCGAUCCGCAGCGCGCGGUGAAGGAGUACAGCCGACCCGCCGCCGGCAAGCCCCGGCCCCCGCCCAGCCAGUUGCGUCCGCCCUCCGUGCUGCUGGCCACCGUGCGCUACCUGGCCGGUGAGGUGGCGGAGAGCGCCGACAUCGCCCGCGCCGAGGUGGCCAGCUUCGUGGCAGACCGCUUGCGAGCUGUGCGCCUGGACCUGGCGCUGCAGGGAGCGGGCGACGCCGAGGCAGCGGUGGUGCUGGAGGCGGCGCUGGCCACGCUGCUGGCCGUAGUGGCGCGGCUCGGGCCCGACGCGGCGCGGGGACCCGCGGACCCGGUGCUGCUGCAGGCCCAGGUGCAGGAGGGCUUCGGCUCGCUGCGGCGCUGCUACGCGCGGGGCGCCGGGCCGCACCCCCGCCAACCCGCCUUCCAGGGUCUCUUUCUGCUCUAUAACCUGGGUGAGUCGGGAUCCUGGCGGCUGGGCAGAGCGUGGGGACAGGAGCCCACCAUGACAGUGGAGGCUCGGUGGAAGCCCUGCAUGAGGUUCUACAGCUGCCUGCUGCCCUGCGCGCCUGCCCGCCCCUCCGCAAGGCCUUGGCGGUAGAUGCUGCCUUCCGAGAGGGCAAUGCUGCCCGCCUGUUCCGUCUGCUCCAGACCCUGCCCUACCUGCCAAGUUGCGCUGUGCAGUGCCAUGUGGGCCAUGCCCGCCGGGAAGCCCUGGCCCGCUUCGCUCGUGCCUUUAGCACCCCCAAGGGCCAGACCUUGCCUCUGGGCUUCAUGGUCAACCUCCUGGCCCUGGAUGGACUCAGGGAAGCACGGGACCUGUGCCAGGCCCACGGGCUGCCCUUGGACGGAGAGGAGAGAGUUGUGUUCCUGAGGGGUCGCUACGUGGAGGAAGGGCUACCGCCUGCCAGUACGUGCAAGGUGUUAGUGGAGAGCAAACUUCGAGGACGUACCCUGGAGGAGGUGGUCAUGGCAGAGGAGGAAGAUGAGGGCGCGGACAGACCUGGGUCCCCAGCCUGAGGAGGGAGCGUGAGCCUCCCAGAGCCCCAGGACUGGGCCAGAGCACUUAGGUUUCUUUUUCCAUGGUUUCCAGAUAAUAAAAGGAACUUGUUUUGUUGGUA